AUGAGAUAUCGGCGAAAAACGGCGAUCUCCCCUUUUUCACACCUUUACGAAAGAAGUAUAGGAGUCCAAUGCAAUGGCACCGAUAUCCCCCCACUGCCUAGACCAGACAGAGAACCAGCUAGAAAUGAGCCUUUGAGCAGCAGCGAGGAAUCCAGCGAGACAGACAGUGAUCAUGGGUCUGUCUAUGAGCCAUCUUCUACAGGAUCUGAGGAGUCCCAAAUCCAAGAUGAUCAGAAAGAAUUAUGUACACAAUCCUUUGGAAGAAACCAAAUUCAUCGUCUCCAAGUCCAAGCUGAUGGAGCUGUUCAGUGCCUGUCGGAGAUGUCAUCGACAUGCUGUGGAUUGUGUUCAACACCUGGUUCGAAACAAUGGUUAAUGAUUGCUGCCCUUCAUUUUAAUGAAAAUUCUUCGAGACCCAGUGCCACAACCAAAGAGGUUGACUUGCAAUACAAGAUUUCAUUUCCAAAGUUCAAGCAUGGGGACUACAGUGUGCGGAAGAAGAGUGUUGAUCCAACUUAUGCGGGUUCAUCCAUCCUGAAAAAGAAGAUGCCAUACUUCACUUCCAGUCAAGAUUUGCAGGCAGAGAGACAACAGUGUAGGACAUGUUGUGACUGUAUAUACGUUUGAUUCACCAUCAUAUACAUGUAUAUUUGAUGUGUUCACUUAACUACUGUUCUAAGGCAUUUUGUAUAUAUCCCCCCCCCCACCCUAUUGAUGUUGCUCUAACCCUCCCCUGUUGUAUAUAUGGGAAGAUGAAAGCAGGGUCCACGUCCC
rnacentral:sRNA from 1 species